CAACAGGGAUUGCCUCAGUAACGGCGAGUGAAGCGGCAAAAGCUCAAAUUUGAAAUCUGGCACCUUCGGUGUCCGAGUUGUAAUUUGAAGAAGGUAACUUUGGAGUUGGCUCUUGUCUAUGUUCCUUGGAACAGGACGUCACAGAGGGUGAGAAUCCCGUGCGAUGAGAUGUCCAAUUCUAUGUAAAGUGCUUUCGAAGAGUCGAGUUGUUUGGGAAUGCAGCUCUAAGUGGGUGGUAAAUUCCAUCUAAAGCUAAAUAUUGGCGAGAGACCGAUAGCGAACAAGUACAGUGAUGGAAAGAUGAAAAGAACUUUGAAAAGAGAGUGAAAAAGUACGUGAAAUUGUUGAAAGGGAAGGGCUUGAGAUCAGACUUGGUAUUUUGCAAGCCUUACCCUCGUGGUGGGGUCCCUCUGCAGUUUACUGGGCCAGCAUCGGUUUGGAUGGUGGGAUAAUGACAUUGGAAUGUGGCUCUGCUUCGGUAGAGUGUUAUAGACCUUUGUUGAUACCACCUGUCUAGACCGAGGACUGCGUCUUUGACUAGGAUGUGGCAUAA
rnacentral:rRNA from 1 species